GACGAACGCUGGCGGCGUGCUUAACACAUGCAAGUCGAACGGACAGACAGAGAGCUUGCUCUCUUGAAGUUAGUGGCGAACGGGUGAGUAACGCGUAAUCAACCUGCCCUUCAGAGGGGGAUAACAACGGGAAACCGUUGCUAAUACCGCGUACGAUUCAUGAACGGCAUCGUUUAUGAAUGAAAGGUGGCCUCUAUGUAUAAGCUAUCGCUGAAGGAGGGGAUUGCGGCUGAUUAGCUAGUUGGAGGGGUAACGGCCCACCAAGGCAAUGAUCAGUAGCCGGUCUGAGAGGAUGAACGGCCACAUUGGGACUGAGACACGGCCCAAACUCCUACGGGAGGCAGCAGUGGGGAAUCUUCCGCAAUGGACGAAAGUCUGACGGAGCAACGCCGCGUGAGUGAUGAAGGUCUUCGGAUUGUAAAGCUCUGUUAAUCGGGACGAAAGAGUUCUGCGUGAAUAAUGCAGGAAAGUGACGGUACCGGAAUAGAAAGCCACGGCUAACUACGUGCCAGCAGCCGCGGUAA
rnacentral:rRNA from 1 species